GUGGUAAAAUACAGCAGCUGUAACAGGUGUUUCAGCUCCUACAGUGAAAUUUAUUACAUAGAAUUGUGAGAAGAUUAUAGGUAACUUUAUCACAGACUUGCUCCAGAAGUAGCUCCUAUGUUUGUAAGUAGAGCAAAAUGAUGAUAAAAGAUUAACAAACAAUAUAGAGAUCUUUAGAGAAUUUAGGGAGGAUGAGCCUCUGCUGCCUGGAAAAUGGCGGAAGGUGCUGUUCCCUCUCAUGGGGUGAGCCACAUGAAAUGAAGCACAAGUUGCCUAAUUAGCUUAAAGACAUGGCUAUGAAUGAG